rnacentral:rRNA from 1 species
UAACGAUACGGGACUCAUCCGAGGCCCCGUAAUCGGAAUGAGUACACUUUAAAUCYUUUAACGAGGAUCCAUUGGAGGGCAAGUCUGGUGCCAGCAGCCGCGGUAAUUCCAGCUCCAAUAGCGUAUAUUAAAGUUGUUGCGGUUAAAAAGCUCGUAGUUGAAUCUGUGUGCCACGCUGUCGGUUCAUCGCUCGCGAUGUUUAACUGACAUGAUUGUGGGACGUCCUACCGGUGGAUUUAGCCUCUUUCUUUUGGGAGGGGAGGCGGUCCAGCUAAUAUCCCAUCGCGGUGCUUUUCAUCGAGUGUCGAGGUGGGCCGGUACGUUUACUUUGAACAAAUUAGAGUGCUCAAAGCAGGCCAUCCUCGCCUGAAUACUGUGUGCAUGGAAUAAUGGAAUAGGACCUCGGUUCUAUUUUGUUGGUUUUCGGAACCCCGAGGUAAUGAUUAAUAGGGACAGAUGGGGGCAUUCGUAUUGCGACGUUAGAGGUGAAAUUCUUGGAUCGUCGCAAGACGGACAGAAGCGAAAGCAUUUGCCAAAAAUGUUUUCAUUAAUCAAGAACGAAAGUUAGAGGUUCGAAGGCGAUCAGAUACCGCCCUAGUUCUAACCAUAAACGAUGCCAGCUAGCGAUCCGCCGAAGUUCCUUUGAUGACUCGGCGGGCAGCUUCCGGGAAACCAAAGCUUUUGGGUUCCGGGGGAAGUAUGGUUGCAAAGCUGAAACUUAAAGGAAUUGACGGAAGGGCACCACCAGGAGUGGAGCCUGCGGCUUAAUUUGACUCAACAC